AAGAACAAUAGGUAUGUUAAAGAGUAG
rnacentral:piRNA from 1 species